rnacentral:lncRNA from 13 species
GUGCUUUCAACGCUGGCAGAAGUAGGGUUUGAACAAAAUGCAUUCCACUCUCUCUGCCUACAGAUCUGCCUCCCUCCCCCACCCCAAAGACAAAAACUCAGAAACACCUGAGUCAGCGUCAGUAGCUGGAAAUGUAGCAGUUUAACAGCAAAUAAAACCCUGUCCAAUGGCUGAUGAAUCAAAUUAAAUUCUGAACAAACAACUCUCUGGCCGCAUCUCAGUCAGUUUCAGAAUCAAUGCAAGUGAUUUAUGGUUCCUUAGGGUUGUAUUCUCUUUGCAAUAUGCUGGGAUUUCCACACGUAGCUACCAUUUACCGCUAAUGAGCAGCACGCAUCAGUCCCUGCGCACCUGGAAGGGAACGCGCCACAUAGUCUCGUUCAGCAGCAUGGGCUCUUUCCAUGCAAAAGGGGCUCCUUGGCUGGAUAAGUUGAAAUAAGGAAAAGAGAAAGGCAGAGACUUUGAAUUGGCAUCAUCAGUAAGGCCUUCGCCUGGGAGUGAAAUGACUUUUCGAAGUUGGAACUUGAGCCUCAUCUGCUGGGGAGGAUUCUUCUUGCUGAUACAGACGUGUCUUCCUGACUGCAUGAGGUAACCAAUGAAGUCUCCAUGAAAGGCUUAAAGGACAUAGUUUGGGAGCUUCCAGAGAGCUUAAAACGUGGAGGCUGGUGGAAAGCAACAUGGAUAAAGCUGGAGGCCAUAAACCUGACUGAAUUAAUGCAGCAACAGAAAACCAAAUACUGCGUGUUCUCGCUUACAAGUGGGAGCUAAAUACUGAGUACACCUGGACAUAAACAUGGGAACAACAGAUACUGUGGACUACUAGCUAGAAGGAGAAAGGGUGUGAGUAGACAAACUACCUAUUGGGUACUCUGCUCCUUACCUGGGUGCAACAUACCUGUGUAAGAAACCUGCACAUAUACACCCUGUAUCUAAAAUGAAAGUUGAAAAAUGUUUAAAAAUCAGACAUAGAAUUAAAACAACACAGGAGGAUAUGGCCACCAUAGAAUAUGACCUAGUAUUCUUAUCUUCCUAAGGGUCUUGCUUUGUUUUAGCACCAUCC